UUGGGUUGCUUGGCGGAUUUUGCCCUAUCCGCAAGUGAGCUCGGUCCCUAAACGUUCGAGAAACCCGAUUGCUAUGCGCCGACUCUCUUUCUUGCGAGCCUCCAUCUAGCUUUUGGGUCUCUACGGAACGGAAGUCGGAAUCUGGGACCGUUGUUUGAUUCGACGAGGCAGACUACGGUUGUGCGAGAAUCGGACAAAUAACUUAUAUAGGGGAGGUGUCACGACCUUUGAGAUCUGACCCGAGCUAGAAUGGAUUCUAGAGCGUGUCUCCCCCUGGCACGUCUCUAUGUCUUCCGAUCCUUAAGUGCGCAAUGGCUUGAGGAUGCAUUACUUGAGAACAAUGUUGGUUAUGAAAGAUUUGCAAAGCAUUCAUGGAUACGUCGGAUGCAAGACUUGAUACCGUGUUGGAUGGAAUGCUAUGCGUGGGUUCUCGCAUAAGUCAUUCGAGAAGCUCUUGGGCUGCGGGAUGUCAUAGGGACAUUCCCAGUGUGGUGUAGGAUUGUGUCCGGGACAUGAUCCGAGGAGUAAUCACUGUGUCUAGGAACGGGAGGUCUGGGACCUCGCCAGGAUAGACAUGGAAACGGUUGCGAGCUGGUGGCACAGCGAGCUAACCUUAGAACUACGUGUGACUUUGAGCCACAUCGAUUGUGGGUACGUAGGAGGUUUUCAUGAGGUCGGCUCGUGUAGGCCACAAGUCCAACCCUGGACGCAGGGAUAUCUCUUGAGGGCGACCCUUAGGUUGGGAAGUUCUCUAGCUUAGUUCUGAGGCGACUCGCUGGAUGAGAAGUCCUCGAGCUAAGUCCAUUGGAGUGCCGCGUUGCACUCAUUGGCGUCGUCUAGACUUAUAUUCCGCAUAAGUCUUGUUUGAGGCGGCAUUGGUGAAGGCGUAGUCCGUAUUAGAUUACUUGCAAGCUAUUUGCAAGGUCUAAAGGCGGUGCCGAACGGGUUGAAACUCUGGACCCGUUACAUCUGGUAUCAGAGCAGAUUCAUCAUUGACUCUGAUACUUGCCUUUUCGGUAAAGCUAGUAUUAGAGGAGUGAUAUGAUGAAACGGUCUCGGUGACCUUUUGUUAUGCGACUUUGGCGAGUCGUUUAAGAGUGUGAUUCGAUGAUGGUUUGGGUGCCCGACUUGGGAAAGUUGAUUUCGGUGAGCUAGCAUGGUGGAGCGAAAGCGAGUUGCAUGCGGGUCACGUAUGAUCUGGGAUUCCUUAGACCCUUGUUGAUGCAAAGGUUGGGGAAGCCCCUUAAUGCAGCGUUCCGAUCUAUGACUAGAGCCGAGCUACUUUUCUUAAGCGGAAGUCGGAGAACUUUAAGGGUGGUUCCUUAGGCAUCCAUAACUCGAGAUCGAAGUGCGGUAUGAAGCUCAUUCAAUGCUCAAACGGACCUGGGUAUUGGAACCGCUAAAAAGGGAGCGUCCUUGUUGGGUGAUAUUUGGUUAGUAUUUCUUGUUAAUAGAGAUGCUUAACCCUUUACUCGGUUGAGUUUAAAAUAAGCGUGCACUUGGUGCUCGAGCUUAUCUUAACAUGAGUUGAGUCGUUAUCCAAUAAAGGUAUGAUUCCCUCGUGUGUUGCAAUCUCGAUGCAUGAAUUGGUUUUGUGCGACUUGACAUGGAAUGUUGGGUUUUAUGAGGUAGCCGAAUUGCAAGGCGUUGUGCUUGUUGUAGCCUAGUACAUCAAGUCAUCCGAAAAGAGCUUGUCAUGUGGAUUGAGUAUGUGAAAGGUAAAUGCGGGGCAUUUAGUCUGGAGCUACUCCGCUAUCUGGUGAUGGUUAAGCUAGGAUGAUUUAUUUAAUAAUGUUAGGACUAAAUUGAGUCUUGUGGAUGUCUUGGUGGUACUCAAGAUCCCAAGGCGUUGCAAAAUGGGUAUUCUGAUUGGGUGUUAGAUAUGGCCUUACGAUUUGGUUUUGCAAGAGAAGGGUUAGGCUCUUCAACUUCAUUGAGUGAGGUGGUGUCUGAUUAAGUGGAUUGGUAAUCUACGUCCCCAGGAUCGCCUUGAUUGCACAAUUGGUCUUUACCAAGAGCUUGAAGGGAACAUAGCUUCACGAGUUGGACUUGGGGAAGGUUAUGGACCCGAGUGGAUCCGAGUCGACUUGGAUGGAAUCUUAAGUCGAGUGUUCAUUUAUGGACCGGAUUUGGUUGGUGUCAUGUUUUGUGAUUCGAGUCAAAGUGAAGUGACUUUGCAAACAUUUUGUAACUCGGAAGUUCGGUGUUGCAAGCGCCGAGGACGUCGCUUAUUUUAAGUGGGGGAGGAUGUCACGACCUUUGAGAUCUGACCCGAGCUAGAAUGGAUUCUAGAGCGUGUCUCCCCCUGGCACGUCUCUAUGUCUUCCGAUCCUUAAGUGCGCAAUGGCUUGAGGAUGCAUUACUUGAGAACAAUGUUGGUUAUGAAAGAUUUGCAAAGCAUUCAUGGAUACGUCGGAUGCAAGACUUGAUACCGUGUUGGAUGGAAUGCUAUGCGUGGGUUCUCGCAUAAGUCAUUCGAGAAGCUCUUGGGCUGCGGGAUGUCAUAGGGACAUUCCCAGUGUGGUGUAGGAUUGUGUCCGGGACAUGAUCCGAGGAGUAAUCACUGUGUCUAGGAACGGGAGGUCUGGGACCUCGCCAGGAUAGACAUGGAAACGGUUGCGAGCUGGUGGCACAGCGAGCUAACCUUAGAACUACGUGUGACUUUGAGCCACAUCGAUUGUGGGUACGUAGGAGGUUUUCAUGAGGUCGGCUCGUGUAGGCCACAAGUCCAACCCUGGACGCAGGGAUAU